rnacentral:rRNA from 1 species
UACGAAGGGGGCAAGCGUUGUUCGGAAUUACUGGGCGUAAAGCGCAUGUAGGCGGUCAUUCAAGCCAGAGGUGAAAUCCCGAAGCUCAACUUCGGAAUUGCCUUUGGAACUGUAUGACUGGAGUCUCGGAGAGGAUGGUGGAAUUCCAAGUGUAGAGGUGAAAUUCGUAGAUAUUUGGAGGAACACCGGUGGCGAAGGCGGCCAUCUGGACGAGUACUGACGCUGAGAUGCGAAAGCGUGGGGAGCAAACAGG